rnacentral:rRNA from 1 species
UACGAACCGUCCAAACGUUAAUCGGAAUUACUGGGCGUAAAGCGUGCGCAGGCGGUUAUGCAAGACAGAUGUGAAAUCCCCGGGCUUAACCUGGGAACUGCAUUUGUGACUGCAUAGCUGGAGUGCGGCAGAGGGGGAUGGAAUUCCGCGUGUAGCAGUGAAAUGCGUAGAUAUGCGGAGGAACACCGAUGGCGAAGGCAAUCCCCUGGGCCUGCACUGACGCUCAUGCACGAAAGCGUGGGGAGCAAACAGG